rnacentral:lncRNA from 1 species
UAUUCUGUGUGUUGCAGGACAGAGGAGGCUGACGUGUGUAAUGUAUUCUCUUUGUGUUGCAGGACAGAGGAGGCUUUGGGAGGCAGUAAGAGAAGGAGAGCUCUCUAUAAACGCAAGUCCUGGAUGAGCAAGGUACAGCACACACAGGUGUUUCCAGGGAAACGAACUGACUCUGACUUGGACCCCCAGCAGCUCCGGGGGGCGUUGCCCAACUUGAAAACUCCAGGGUUAACCCCGUCCAGCGAUGGGAUGGGGGCAGCCCUGACCUGUUUGACGAGAGGCGGAGCUACAGCUGUGUGAACGACUGGGAGCGGAAACUUUGGAGUCGUCAGGAGAGGAGAGUGGACUGGAACCACUGGAAAAUGGUAUGUUGUGUGUGUGUGUUGUGUGUGUGGUGGCGCGCAACGCGCCCAGGAAACCAGAAAAUAUAA